rnacentral:rRNA from 1 species
GACGAACGCUGGCGGCGUGCUUAACACAUGCAAGUCGAACGGAAAGGCCUCUUUCGGGGGGUACUCGAGUGGCGAACGGGUGAGUAACACGUGAGUAACCUGCCCUUGACUUUGGGAUAACUUCAGGAAACUGGGGCUAAUACCGGAUAGGAGCUCCUGCUGCAUGGGGGGGGUUGGAAAGAUUCGGCGGUUGGGGAUGGACUCGCGGCUUAUCAGCUUGUUGGUGGGGUAGUGGCUUACCAAGGCUUUGACGGGUAGCCGGCCUGAGAGGGUGACCGGCCCCAAUGGGGCUGAGGUACGGCCCAGACUGCUACGGGAGGCAGCAGUGGGGAAUAUUGCACAAUGGGUGGAAGCCUGAUGCAGCAACGCCGUGUGCGGGAAGACGGCCUUCGGGUUGUAAACCGCUUUCGCUCAUGACGGAGCUUUGUGUGACGGUAGUGGGUAAAGAAGCACCGGCUAACUACGUG